rnacentral:rRNA from 1 species
GAACGUUGGCGGUAUGCUUAACACAUGCAAGUCGUACGUGAAAGCUUCCUUCGGGAAGUGAUUAAAGUGGCGCACGGGUGAGUAACACGUGGAUAAUCUACCCGACAAUCAGGGAUAACAUUUCGAAAGGAAUGCUAAUACCUGAUAAGCCUACGCCCUCUUCGGAGGAAGUAGGAAAAGGUGGGGACCUUCGGGCCUGCCGUUGUUGGAUGAGUCCGCGGCCCAUUAGGUAGUUGGUGGGGUAAUGGCCUACCAAGCCGAUGAUCCGUAGGGGGCGUGAGAGCGUGACCCCCCACACUGGCACUGAGAUACGGGCCAGACUCCUACGGGAGGCAGCAGUGAGGAAUAUUGCACAAUGGGCGCAAGCCUGAUGCAGCAACGCCGCGUGAGGGACGAAGGCCUUCGGGUUGUAAACCUCUUUUCUGGGGGAAGAGACAAGGACGGUACCUCAGGAAUAAGUCUCGGCUAACUACGUGCCAGCAGCCGCGGUAAAACGUAGGAGGCGAGCGUUAUCCGGAUUUACUGGGCGUAAAGCGCGCGCAGGCGGUUUCGUUAGUCGGACGUGAAAGCUCCUGGCUUAACUAGGAGAGGUCGUUCGAUACUGCGGGACUUGAGGUUGGGAGAGGGAAGUGGAAUUCCCGGUGUAGCGGUGGAAUGCGUAGAUAUCGGGAGGAACACCCGUGGCGAAAGCGGCUUCCUGGUCCGCACCUGACGCUAAGACGCGAAAGCUAGGGGAGCAAA